AUUUUAGAAUUUUAGAAUUUUAGACAAACACACACACAUCUCCCACUAUAUGACAUUAGUCCGUGUAGAGUGUCAGUGUUUCCAACGCGCUACGAAAACAAAAGGUAAAUUUUAGAAAUAUUCCAUAAAACAAAUCAAAAGUUUUAAUUUUAUUUAUUUUUUAUCGUUGCGGAAUAUCUGAACGGUAUCCCGUUUUCGCGUCUCGUUUUCUCUGCACGUCCCCAAAAAAGCUCAGUCGUCCGUCAUCGCCUGUCAUCAAAACACGUUGAAACGUUUCUUGUCAAAGUGCCCGAGUGUCCAGCUGAAAUGGACCGUUUUUUAAACAUUGGCCACUGUCCUGGUCCCGGUCUUUGUUCCGUUGGUCAAGAUCUGCGUGUGUUUGAACGAAAAACAGUUUCUAAUCGAUCGAUUUUCGAUGCGUCGUUCUCGCAGGAGCGUCUGAAACUCCCGGAGUUGCAGGCUGUGGUCUGCCUUCACAGAUUCCAAAGGCGGACGUUGUUUUUGUUUUCCCCGGGGACACGGCGAUGACCGGCCGAAACUGGAAUUGGUCCGUUUUCAAGCUCAGUGGGACCGUGGUAUCUGGGAGAAUCUUCUUCGAGGGAAUGUUAUUGUAAAAGAUUGUGCAUUGUAAUUACAUGUAAUAUUACGAAUAAAGUCAAAUUUUGUGUUGUA